rnacentral:rRNA from 1 species
AUUGAACGCUAGCGGGAUGCUUUACACAUGCAAGUCGAACGAGUGGCGGACGGGUGAGUAAUAUAUCGGCACGUGCCCAUUAGCGGGGGAUCACUACUCGAAAGAGUGGCUAAUACCGCCUACUAUUGGAGCGGCCGAUAUCGGAUUAGCUAGUUGGUGGGGUAAAGGCUCACCAAGGCAACGAUCCCUGGCGGGUUUGAGAGGACGACCAGCCAAACGGGGACUGAGACACGGCCCAGAGUCCUACGGGAGGCAGCAGUGGGGAAUUUUGGACAAGGGGGGAAACCCUGAGCCAGCCAUCCCGCGUGUAUGAGAAGGCCUUCGGGUUGUAAAGUACUUUUGGCAGAGAAGCGGUAGCGGCAGAAUAAGCACCGGCUAACUACGUGCCAGCAGCCGCGGUAAUUC